rnacentral:rRNA from 1 species
CUAUGUGAUCGUCUCUCGCAUAUCAAUAAGCGGAGGAAAAGAAACUAACAAGGAUUCCCCUAGUAACGGCGAGUGAAGCGGGAAGAGCUCAAAUUUGAAAUCUUAAAGGGUUUCCCUUUACGAAUUGUAGUUUAAAGAAGUGUUUUCUGUUGAGGUUUUGGUAAAAGUUCUUUGGAAUAGGACAUCAUAGAGGGUGAGAAUCCCGUAUUUGACCUUUACUUUCAACUUUGUGAUACACUUUCAAAGAGUCGGAUUGUUUGGGAAUGCAGUCCAAAAUGGGUGGUAAAUUUCAUCUAAAGCUAAAUAUUGGCGAGAGACCGAUAGCGAACAAGUACCGUGAGGGAAAGAUGAAAAGAACUUUGAAAAGAGAGUUAAACAGUACGUGAAAUUGUCAAAAGGGAAGCGUUUGACACCAGUGUUGUUUUUCUGAAAAUCAAUUAAAGAACUGUUUAUGCUAAGUUGUUUAGACUUUAUCAGCUAAUCUGCUUAGCUUUGAGCUUUUCUUUAAUGCACUUUUCAGUUAACAAGUCAACAUCAAUUUCUUUUGCUGUAAAAAAGCUCGAGGAAGGUGGCUUGAGAUUCGUCUUAAGUGUUUAUAGCCUCUUGCCUAUGCAGUCGGAGAGAUUGAGGUCUGCAGCGUAGAUCCUUCGGGGCUAAAUGCAUUUGUGCUAAGUUAUAGCAUUUUAUAGACAACUUGUUGACUAUGAUUUGUCUUGUAGCUUACUCGCUUAUGUUAUUUUACCUACGCUUAGGAUGUUGAGUAGCGACAUACGCAC